rnacentral:rRNA from 1 species
UACAGAGGGUGCGAGCGUUAAUCGGAAUUACUGGGCGUAAAGCGUGCGCAGACGGUCACGUAAGUCGGGUGUGAAAGCCCCGGGCUCAACCUGGGAAUUGCAUUCGAGACUGCGUGGCUAGGGUGCGGAAGAGGGAAGCGGAAUUUCCGGUGUAGCGGUGAAAUGCGUAGAUAUCGGAAGGAACACCAGUGGCGAAAGCGGCUUCCUGGUCCAGCACCGACGUUCAAGCACGAAAGCGUGGGGAGCAAACAGG